UUCAUUCUGUUCCAUUUUCAGAAAAAAAAAACCAGCUCCUUGUUCCCUCCCCUCGUCUAGUGUAAGAGCUCUGCUAGGGCACAGAGGUUCUCUCCUUGUUUCAAGCUAGCAAAGGAUAUUGUACUUCCAGCUCCGUACCCUGCUCCAGUGCUCCACUACUUUUCUUGGGUUACCACUCUAUUCUGCUAGCGUAUAACAAGAUGGAAAGAGCUCUGGAGGUGGAUCUGCUGGUGGUAGCGGUGUUGCAUAGUUUGGACCAGUUACCUGUAGCUCCUAAUAGUAGUUUUUAUGGCUUUAAUGCCCCUCUCUUUUGUGAUUUCUUGCUCUAGGAGCGACCCUUUUGCAAGACAGUUAACGUUCAGUCCUUGUUUCGAUUUUGGCAUGGUUGUAUGCCUAUGUUUCCUUUUAAGUACUCCUAUGGAUAACUAUAAUAGUAGAUCCGUACG